UACGAAGGGUGCAAACGUUGCUCGGAAUUACUGGGCGUAAAGCGCGUGUAGGCUGCUUCGCAAGUCGGAUGUGAAAGCCCUGGGCUCAACCCAGGAAGUGCAUUCGAAACUGCAGAGCUGGAGUCCUGGAGAGGAAGGCGGAAUUCUCGGUGUAGAGGUGAAAUUCGUAGAUAUCGAGAGGAACACCGGUGGCGAAGGCGGCCUUCUGGACAGUGACUGACGCUGAGACGCGAAAGCGUGGGGAGCAAACAGG
rnacentral:rRNA from 1 species